UACUCAGAGGAGGAUACUCCACUGAAGGACGCGCUAUCAAGAAAGUAGGAUAUCCGUGCGUUGUUGCCAGAGUCUUUAUCACUGGCAGUAAUAGCAAAUAUAGACAGCCCUGUUUGUAAGAGAGCCAGGCAUUCUGUCCAGAGUCCACAUCAACAGCAACUACUUUAGAGACAAGAUAGCCCACAUCUGCUGUGCGAGGCACAAUUUCAGCCACCAGGGAGCCACUGGUCUGCACUGGAUACAGUAUCUGUGACACGUAUUCAGCAGGUGAAAUUCCUCUGACCGAGAGGUCUUCAAGAAAAUAGGAUACUCGUGCAUUGUUACCGGAGUCUUUAUCGCUGGCUGUGACUGUAAAUAUGGACACCCCAGCCUUUUCAAAUCUAGACCCAAAUCCUGCGCUAUGUUACCGACUAACGAACCUUUCGACAUCUCCUCGGGAACAGAAUAGCUGACCUGCCCAUGCACCGAACAGAGGAAGAGGAGCAGAACGAACAAUACUUGCCGCACGACGGUGAUGUCCGACAUUUUCUCUUUGUGAGAUAUUUAACACGAUGCAAUCUGUGAAAGAAA